rnacentral:tRNA from 3 species
GGAGAGGUUGCCGAGUGGCUUAAGGCGCACGCCUGCUAAGCGUGUGUGGGGAAACUCACCGAGGGUUCGAAUCCCUCCCUCUCCGCCA